GAUGAACGCUGGCGGCGUGCCUAAUACAUGCAAGUCGAGCGAACAGAUGAGGAGCUUGCUCCUCUGACGUUAGCGGCGGACGGGUGAGUAACACGUGGAUAACCUACCUAUAAGACUGGGAUAACUUCGGGAAACCGGAGCUAAUACCGGAUAAUAUAUUGAACCGCAUGGUUCAAUAGUGAAAGACGGUUUUGCUGUCACUUAUAGAUGGAUCCGCGCCGCAUUAGCUAGUUGGUAAGGUAACGGCUUACCAAGGCAACGAUGCGUAGCCGACCUGAGAGGGUGAUCGGCCACACUGGAACUGAGACACGGUCCAGACUCCUACGGGAGGCAGCAGUAGGGAAUCUUCGACAAUGGGCGAAAGCCUGACGGAGCAACGCCGCGUGAGUGAUGAAGGUCUUCGGAUCGUAAAACUCUGUUAUUAGGGAAGAACAAAUGUGUAAGUAAAUAUGCACGUCUUGACGGUACCUAAUCAGAAAGCCACGGCUAACUACGUG
rnacentral:rRNA from 1 species